rfam:Hordeum vulgare subsp. vulgare, WGS project CAJW01000000 data, contig: morex_contig_62572
AUAAUACUCCCUCCGUCCGGAAUUACUUGUCGCAGGAACAGAUGUAUCUAGAUGUAUUUUAGUUCUAAAUAUGUCCAUUUCUAUCCAUUUCCGCGACAAGUAAUUUGGGACAGAGGGAGUAGGUA